rnacentral:rRNA from 1 species
UGAGGAAUAUUGGUCAAUGGACGCAAGUCUGAACCAGCCAUGCCGCGUGCAGGAUGACGGCCUUAUGGGUUGUAAACUGCUUUUAUAUGGGAAUAAUUGCCACUACGUG